UAAACCUUGUUCUGCAGCGAUAUUUUUGUUUUCCGCUCAAAGUGGAUUUGGUUUUUCACUCAAAAUAAUUGUUGAUUGAUAAUUUUAGGGUUUUAAUUAGAUUAAGUAGCAUUGGAAAUGCUUGCUUUGUAUUACGAGGUCUUUGUCCUUUGCCUCUUACUUUCGUUAUGGUUUUCUUCAAGUUUGUUCUCUUACAAUUAUCAGCUACUUUGAUUUCUUUCUUAACUUCUUUUAUUUUUUUUUAUUAUUAUUUUUUUUUCUGACGAGUAGACUUGAAACUGGUGGAUUGAUUGUGAAAAGAGAAGGUGUGGGCACCUUGUGCUUGUGAUGCAUGCUGGACUGUGGUGUCGAGGAUUAGCCAUCGGCUUGCAAAAAUUGUGUACUAUGGUUUCUUUGCACUUUCUCUGAUUGUUUCUGGGAUUCUCUGUGAGGUUGCCGCACCUCUAAUGGAAAAAUUCCCUUGGAAGCCCUCUGCAAAUAUUUAAGGGUGUUUGCUUUUUCUUGUUUACUCUUUUCAUUUUUAGGGGUUGUUAUGAGUAAUUUGUAUGCUUUAUAUUCUUCAAGGCAAAUCUGUUAUAGUGAUGGUAAAGAUGUACAUGAUAUGGAAAGACUUCACUGUUGUGUGAAAACAAAUGCAACCAUCACUUUUGUUGUGUGAUGUUUAUGAAUUGUUCUUUUGUUCUUGCAGCUAGUAGACAUAAUAUAUGACACCUCUAUGGACAUGUGGGGCUGCAAAAAUGAAACUGUUUAUGGCCAAGACACAGAAUAACUAAGGCCGUCGGUUCUGUAGGUGUCCGCUUGGCAGGACCACUCAAGGAGCUUCAUGUGGGUUGAGUAAUAUAAUGCGGAAGAGGUACAGCCAAUAGCAGCAGUUUUAGAACAACCCUCAGGAGGAGUAUCCUGAUCUAAGUGGGCGGUGAAGGUGAUGGCUCGCUGCUGCAGUUGCACUUUUGUUGUGGAAUUGUUGAUUUUCAUUGAACUUGAUGCAAUAAUAAUAAGAAGUAGUCGGCUACUACUUAUAA